UUGUUGUUGUUGUUGCUGCUGCCAACCAGUUAGUAGUUUAAUUACAACAGUUUAUCAAUUUCAAUGUUUUGAUGCAAGAAAGAUAGCCAAAAUGCUGCUGCAAGAAAGAUUACCCAAAAAGAUUAAUAGAUUAGUUGACACCAUCAAAAAAUUAAAGAAACAAUGAAAAAUUAUUAUUAAAAGUUGUUAGGUGUAGCUUUUUUUCCA